CUAAGCCUACAUUAUUCCUAUACACAAAUCCGGCGAAACACGGAAGUAAAGCAGCGCCGCCAUUACUGCGUUGCCUUGCUGCUAAGGAAGUAGCGAAGUAAUGUGUUGGUCCUGUAGGCGGCUGUAGCAGACGUUAGCUGUAGAUGCGAAAUCUUCUUCUUUUUCUUAAUUUUUAUUUAGUACGUAUGCUGUCCAGUGAUGCCGGGAAAAGCGUGUUGUGUGGUUGGCUGUUUUAACAACAGUAGGAUACAGACCUAGAAUUAAACCGUUUGUGAAAUUCACAAACCUUUGUUGCACAUUGAGUGUCCAUGUUUACAGGCUUAUGGAUUACACAGAGUUCCUUGUGGAGUGGAGGACCAAGAUGUGCGUUAAAAGUGGAUGAAAUACAUACGAUUAAUAAAAUAAUCCUGAAUA